AUGAACGCUGGCGGCGUGCCUAAUACAUGCAAGUCGAGCGAACGGACGAGGAGCUUGCUCCUCUGACGUUAGCGGCGGACGGGUGAGUAACACGUGGAUAACCUACCUAUAAGACUGGGAUAACUUCGGGAAACCGGAGCUAAUACCGGAUGAUAUAUUGAACCGCAUGGUUCAAUAGUGAAAGACGGUUUUGCUGUCACUUAUAGAUGGAUCCGCGCCGCAUUAGCUAGUUGGUAAGGUAACGGCUUACCAAGGCAACGAUGCGUAGCCGACCUGAGAGGGUGAUCGGCCACACUGGAACUGAGACACGGUCCAGACUCCUACGGGAGGCAGCAGUAGGGAAUCUUCCGCAAUGGGCGAAAGCCUGACGGAGCAACGCCGCGUGAGUGAUGAAGGUCUUCGGAUCGUAAAACUCUGUUAUUAGGGAAGAACAAAUGUGUAAGUAACUAUGCACGUCUUGACGGUACCUAAUCAGAAAGCCACGGCUAACUACGUG
rnacentral:rRNA from 1 species